rnacentral:misc_RNA from 1 species
GUGAAUCAUCGAAUCUUUGAACGCAUAUUGCACUCUCUGGUAUUCCGGGGAGUAUGCCUGUUUGAGGGUCAGUAAAAAUAAAAAAUCUAUCAUGAAUCCUUUAAUUUAUUUUAUUAAAUCGGAACAUGGAAUUGGAUCUUUCAAAGAUUUCAUUAUUUUUGAUGAUCUUAAAUUUAUGUUAUAUGGCUAUAUAUUAUAAACUGAACCAAAAAGAACAAUUAUUUAUAAUUAAUCUCAUUUAGUGAUGUUUUAUUAAGCCAAAUAUGAUUUAUUUUGAUAUUUAAUAUCAAAAUUAAUCAU